GUGUCAGCAGCCGCGGUAAUACGAAGGGUGCGAGCGUUAAUCGGAAUUACUGGGCGUAAAGCGCGCGUAGGUGGUUUGGUAAGCGAUAUGUGAAAUCCCCGGGCUCAACCUGGGAACUGCAUGUCGAACUGCCAGGCUAGAGUAUGGUAGAGGGGUGUGGAAUUUCCUGUGUAGCGGUGAAAUGCGUAGAUAUAGGAAGGAACAUCAGUGGCGAAGGCGACACCCUGGACCGAUACUGACACUGAGGCGCGAAAGCGUGGGUAGCGAACAGGAUUAGAUACCCCAGUAGUCC
rnacentral:rRNA from 1 species